UCAUUUUCUCUCAAAAAGAAAAGAAAAAACCCCUCUCCGAUCAUAGCGCCGGUCAUCGGCCGUCGGGUGCCGUUGUACACGGUGGCUGGAGAGGGGAGAAACUUCAGAUCUGGUCCUUUCAACCCUCCUAAGCUCGAAUCCGUGUUCAAAAUUCCCAAAAUGUUAACAAAAAUGCCCCAAAGUUCAAGAAACCUUUCGGUUUUCAGUCACUGAUCAUCGGGGGUAACUCCCUCGGCGUUUAAAACGGGUACAUGUUUGUCCUUUCUUCUUUCUUUUUCGUUUCUACUUUCAUAUGUAAAUAAUAAACGCGAAAAAAAAGAAAAAAAGUAUAUUAAAGAUGGAGUAUAAAAGGGUAAAUGUAAACCUUUCGGAUUUUGAUUUCUGCUUUCUUGUUCUAAAAAAUGUUCAAAAAAAAAUUCCCCUUGAAUUACAUUUGAUUCGGCCUUUAUAGCCGAUUAUGUUGCUCUUUUUUUUUUCUAAUGUAUUCUACUGUUCUUUUGCCUUUGUUCUCUUCUAUCAUUUUGUCUUUGUUUACAGGUUUUGGGGCAAGGUCAACGGGUGUUGGAGGGAUAACCCGGGCCAUUUUGGUGCAAAGCCGAUGGUGUCUGUCAUGCUUCGGGCAUCGAGUGCGCUGCAAAGGCACGAGGGGACGUACGGCGCACUGGGGCUGUUUGGUUGUGGGCUGAAUUGGGCUAGGGUUUUGCCAUCUCAGGCCGUACUAGGCCUAGCAUGUAAUUGGGCUUGUUAUGGGUGUUUCGGGCCAAGUUAUUUGGACUCUAUUUAUUUGUUUUGGGCUUUUAGACCCAGGUCAAAAUUGACCUUUUACAAAUAUAGAUUUUUAAUUGGCCAAAGGUUUAAAGGAUUUAUUUAGUAAUUAAACCAAGG
rnacentral:lncRNA from 1 species